GACGAACGCUGGCUGCGUGCUUAACACAUGCAAGUCGAACGGAAAGGCCCUGCUAGUUUGCUUUCCUCGAGUUGCAAACGCGUGAGGAACACUAGAGUAACCUGCCCUUGACUUUGGGAUAGCUUCAGGACACUGGGGCUAAUACCAGAUAGUAGCUCCUUCUUCAUGGUGGGUGUUGGAAAGUUUCGGCGGUUGGGGAUUGACUCGUGGCUUAUCAGCUUGUUGGUUGGGUAGUGGCUUACCAAGGCUUUGAGGGGUAGCCGGCCUGAGAGGGUGACCGGCCACAUUGGGAAUGAGAUACGGCACGGAGUCGUAAGGGAGGCAGCAGUGGGGAAUAUUGCACGAUGCGCGGAAGCAUGAUGCAGGAACGCCGCGUGAGGGAUGACGGACUUCGGGUUGGCAACCGCUAUGGCAUGUGAGGGAGCGUGAGUGCAGGUAACGGGUAAAGAAGCACCGGCUAAUUACGUG
rnacentral:rRNA from 1 species